rnacentral:rRNA from 1 species
UGGGGAAUCUUGGACAAUGGGGGCAACCCUGAUCCAGCGACGCCGCGUGCGGGAGGACGGCCUGUGGGUUGUAAACCGCUUUUCUCUAGGAAGAAGGUCUGACGGUACUAGAGGAAUCAGCAUCGACUAACUCCGUGCCAGCAGCCGCGGUAAGACGGAGGAUGCAAGCGAUAUCCGGAAUUAUUGGGCGUAAAGCGUCCGUAGGCGGUUCAUCAAGUCAGUUGUUAAAGACUGCAGCUCAACUGUGGGCGAGCAACUGAAACUGAUGAACUAGAGUGCGGUAGGGGUAGAGGGAAUUCCCAGUGUAGCGGUGAAAUGCGUAGAUAUUGGGAAGAACACCAGUGGCGAAGGCGCUCUACUGGGCCGCAACUGACGCUGGGGGACGAAAGCGAGGGGAGCGAAAGGGAUUAGAUACCCCUGUAGUCC